UACAGAGGGGGCAAGCGUUGUUCGGAAUUACUGGGCGUAAAGGGCGCGUAGGCGGCCUUCUAAGUCGAACGUGAAAUCCCUGGGCUCAACCCAGGAACUGCGUCCGAUACUGGAAGGCUUGAAUCCGGGAGAGGGAUGCGGAAUUCCAGGUGUAGCGGUGAAAUGCGUAGAUAUCUGGAGGAACACCGGUGGCGAAGGCGGCAUUCUGGACCGAAACUGACGCUGAGGCGCGAAAGCCAGGGGAGCAAACGGG
rnacentral:rRNA from 1 species